rnacentral:lncRNA from 1 species
GGCGACAGCCUUAGUGAACAGGGCAGGGUGACUGGGCGUGGUUGGAACGUGGUGGCAAAGGUCACGGACAAUGGCAGAACUAAGGGGGCAGUGGGGGUACUGGGCCCUAUUGAAUUAAAAAAAAGCAUUUUAGUAAUUUCUCAUUUCACAAUUAAAAAUAAUAAAAUAAAGCUAAAAUUGUGAAUUUCAAGCCUCCAACGAAAAAAAACAAAAAAUGCAGCAGUUGAAAUUCUUGGCCGUAGAAAAUGGUAAAAGGUGGCAGACUGGCAGUAGAGAAUUAAAAGUUAAAACCAACACAACUUCCACAUACUGAUAUCACCAUGUUCGUAUAGUAUAGUCUCUUC